rnacentral:rRNA from 1 species
GACGAACGCUGGCGGCGUGCUUAACACAUGCAAGUCGAACGGAAAGGCCCUGCUUUUGUGGGGUGCUCGAGUGGCGAACGGGUGAGUAACACGUGAGUAACCUGCCCUUGACUUUGGGAUAACUUCAGGAAACUGGGGCUAAUACCGGAUAGGAGCUCCUGCUGCAUGGUGGGGGUUGGAAAGUUUCGGCGGUUGGGGAUGGACGCGCGGCUUAUCAGCUUGUUGGUGGGGUAGUGACUUACCAAGGCUUUGACGGGUAGCCGGCCUGAGAGGGUGACCGGCCACAUUGGGACUGAGAUACGGCCCAGACUCCUACGGGAGGCAGCAGUGGGGAAUAUUGCACAAUGGGCGGAAACCUGAUGCAGCAACGCCGCGUGCGGGAUGACGGCCUUCGGGUUGUAAACCGCUUUCGCCUGUGACGAAGCGUGAGUGACGGUAAUGGGUAAAGAAGCACCGGCUAACUACGUG